GCCCAGGUAGCUCAGUUGGUAGAGCAUCAGGCUCUUAAUCUGAGGGUCCAGGGUUCAAGCCCCUGUCUGGCUGCU